rnacentral:rRNA from 1 species
UACGGAGGAUGCAAGCGUUAUCCGGAAUCAUUGGGCGUAAAGAGCUCGUAGGUGGCUUGUCGCGUCUGCCGUGAAAGCCCGUGGCUUAACUACGGGUCUGCGGUGGAUACGGGCAGGCUAGAGGCUGGUAGGGGCAAGCGGAAUUCCUGGUGUAGCGGUGAAAUGCGCAGAUAUCAGGAGGAACACCGGUGGCGAAGGCGGCUUGCUGGGCCAGUUCUGACGCUGAGGAGCGAAAGCGUGGGGAGCGAACAGG